UACGAAGGGGCUAGCGUUGCUCGGAAUCACUGGGCGUAAAGCGCACGUAGGCGGAUUGCUAAGUCAGGGGUGAAAUCCUGGAGCUCAACUCCAGAACUGCCUUUGAUACUGGCAACCUUGAGUCCGGGAGAGGUGAGUGGAACUGCGAGUGUAGAGGUGAAAUUCGUAGAUAUUCGCAAGAACACCAGUGGCGAAGGCGGCUCACUGGCCCGGUACUGACGCUGAGGUGCGAAAGCGUGGGGAGCAAACAGGG
rnacentral:rRNA from 1 species